rnacentral:rRNA from 1 species
AGCUUUGCCUAGAGGCCUGCAAACAGGACGCAUGGGGGCAUUCUGAUGUUGUGGAAUUAGAAGGUUGUACAAGUUUCUCAGAUAACUUUUGGUGACUUCUUCCUAUCGGCAAUGGUCAAUGUUCUGGAAGAUGAUAGUUCCUUCAAUAUAACAACCGUUUGUGGCCCGACCGACUACGCCCAGAAGGAUGAUUUCUUCAAUGAGCUCAAGGGCCAAAAACCACAAAAGGGAGUGAAGUGGCUUGUACUCGGAGAUUUUAACCAAAUAUAUAGAUCCCGAGACAAGAACAGAGGCAACAUCAAUAGUAGUAGACUGUUUCGAGAGGCCUUAAACGAUUGUGAGCUUAAAGAGAUCCACUUGCAGAACAGGUGGUUCGCUUGGUCGAACAAGCGCCUGAACCCAACUUUGAGCAAGCUGGAUGGCUUUUUAUGCAAUGAAGACUCAGAUAUCCACUUUAGCAUCCACAUCCUUCAUGCACUAUCAUCCUUGCCCUCGGAUCACUGUCCACUUCUUCUUGCCUCGGACCGAGGACCAAAGAGAGGCCGCCUUCUUUCAAGUUUGGAUUUCUUUUGGGUCAAGAUGUUGGGAUUCAAGGAAAUAGUGCAAAAGUCCUGGAACGAGGAAAUCACCCACCCCGAACCAUGUCAGAUUUUAUUCCACAAGUUGCAAAAAGUUGGACGCCACCUCAAGUCCUGGAGUAAAAGCAUGUUCUCGAGUGCUAAGUUACAUCUUCACGUGGCCCAUGAGGUGAUCCUACGCUUUGAUUUUGCCAUGGAGCAUAGCAUCCUACCUCAUGCUGAGGCUGACAUUCGAUACAGACUGAAAUGGAGGGUUGUUAGUCUAGCAGUGCUUGAGCGGACUAGGAAGAAACAAUGUUGUAGACUUCACAACCUCAGAGAGGGUGAUGAUGCUAGUAUUAAAUUCUUCCACCUAUGGGUCAAUGGCACGCGGCGGAAAAAUCACAUACACCGCCUUAUGCACAACAAUGGGAGGUCAAUUGGGCAUGAUGAAAAGGAAGAAAUCACAUGCAAUCACUUCGCCAACAUGAUGGGGAGACCACCGUGCCAAGAAAUUGACUUUAAUUGGCCAGACCUUGUGAAGGAAAUAUGCCCUAGAGGCAAUAAUAAAGAUAUUAUUUAUUUCCUUAUAUCAUGA